rfam:Paraburkholderia caribensis strain Bcrs1W chromosome 1, complete sequence.
CCGCCCCUCAUUGGGGAGUAGCCGCCCCGCGUCAUGCCCGCGCUACGGUCCAGCUUCUGGCCGGCGAGCGCAGCGUGCGUGACCUGCGGGGGCGCCUGUCAACAGACUUGGCCGUAUGGCCAUGGCAGACGCAGCCUCUGGCCUGGCGAGACCGAUGAUCCACCACCGCCGCUUUAGGGCCC